UACGUAGGGUGCGAGCGUUAAUCGGAAUUACUGGGCGUAAAGCGUGCGCAGGCGGUUUUGUAAGCCAGAUGUGAAAUCCCCGGGCUUAACCUGGGAAUGGCAUUUGGGACUGCAAGGCUCGAGUGCGGCAGAGGAGACUGGAAUUCCUGGUGUAGCAGUGAAACGCGUAGAUAUCAGGAGGAACACCGAUGGCGAAGGCAGGUCUCUGGGCUGACACUGACGCUCAUGCACGAAAGCGUGGGGAGCAAACAGG
rnacentral:rRNA from 1 species